rnacentral:rRNA from 1 species
GAUGAACGCUGGCGGCGUGCCUAAUACAUGCAAGUCGAGCGAACGGACGAGAAGCUUGCUUCUCUGAUGUUAGCGGCGGACGGGUGAGUAACACGUGGAUAACCUACCUAUAAGACUGGGAUAACUUCGGGAAACCGUAGCUAAUACCGGAUAAUAUUUUGAACCGCAUGGUUCAAAAGUGAAAGACGGUCUUGCUGUCACUUAUAGAUGGAUCCGCGCUGCAUUAGCUAGUUGUUAAGGUAACGGCUUACCAAGGCAACGAUGCAUAGCCGACCUGAGAGGGGGAUCGGCCACACUGGAACUGAGACACGGUCCAGACUCCUACGGGAGGCAGCAGUAGGGAAUCUUCCGCAAUGGGCGAAAGCCUGACGGAGCAACGCCGCGUGAGUGAUGAAGGUCUUCGGAUCGUAAAACUCUGUUAUUAGGGAAGAACAUAUGUGUAAGUAACUGUGCACAUCUUGACGGUACCUAAUCAGAAAGCCACGGCUAACUACGUG